rnacentral:rRNA from 1 species
GAUGAACGCUGGCGGCGUGCCUAAUACAUGCAAGUCGAGCGAACAGACGAGGAGCUUGCUCCUCUGACGUUAGCGGCGGACGGGUGAGUAACACGUGGAUAACCUACCUAUAAGACUGGGAUAACUUCGGGAAACCGGAGCUAAUACCGGAUAAUAUAUUGAACCGCAUGGUUCAAUAGUGAAAGACGGUUUUGCUGUCACUUAUAGAUGGAUCCGCGCCGCAUUAGCUAGUUGGUAAGGUAACAGCUUACCAAGGCAACGAUGCGUAGCCGACCUGAGAGAGUGAUCGGCCACACUGGAACUGAGACACGGUCCAGACUCCUACGGGAGGCAGCAGUAGGGAAUCUUCCGCAAUGGGCGAAAGCCUGACGGAGCAACGCCGCGUGAGUGAUGAAGGUCUUCGGAUCGUAAAACUCUGUUAUUAGGGAAGAACAAAUGUGUAAGUAACUAUGCACGUCUUGACGGUACCUAAUCAGAAAGCCACGGCUAACUACGUG